UAAAAAGCUUCUCUUGAAGCUACUCUGAAAAAAAAAUAAAACUAAG
rfam:Sarcophilus harrisii ctg7180002481846, whole genome shotgun sequence.